UCUGAGCGAGGCGGGGGCGGGGCGCGAGCGGGGAAAAGCUGAGCAUGCCAACGGUAAACCGCCGAGCUCUGGAAUGGCACUAAACGCUGAUUCUUCUUGCUAUUGUAUUGCUUUCGUGGUGCUACAUCAUUUAUGCAACCCGAAUAGCAGCCAAAUGGCAACUGAAGGUACAGAAAUAAAUGCCUGGAUAUCUAUGGAAGAAUUGCCAAAAUGCAUAUAGUAUCCAGUGAAAAUUUGAAGUUAAACAGAUGUUCAAGUUAUUUGAGCUAUUCUGAAGAAAAAUCUGCAUCAUACUGCUUCUAUAAAAUCCAAGGUCAGCUACUUAAUCAGUACUAAUAGAUUCAAUGGAAGUGUCAAUAAUAUCUGCAAAACACCAAAAGUUGUCCCCAAACUACUGACCAAUAAAUCUACCGGCGAACAUUGUAAAUGACAGGAUUGGUCGCACUUUUUCAUUGCUGUCAUUACUGAAUGGUUGCUGCACAAGGCAGAUGACAAAAUCUACCUAUAGAUUUAGGAAGUGGUAUAUGCUUUUGCUACCUCCUGUGUCAAUCUCUUCUUGCAGAUUAAUGAUAACGACAAUACCAAAAUAAUGCUAUUCACUAACAAGCACAAGAGGGUAAAUUAUCACAACCAGAAGUUUAUCAGACAAUGAUUAUUUGACAAGGAAACUGGCCAGUCUCAUUGUAUUGAUGUCUUCUUAAAAAACCAGGUAUUCAGUCAUAAGGCUGUAGCAUUAAAGGAAAUGAAUGGCAGUUCAUGAGUAAGAAUAUGAAGUUUUUAGUAGGGGGAACCUACAUAAUACAACACUAAUCUAGUAAAGGCCAACCAUACCCUUGUGGUAUCAAUUAUUUUAUCUGGAUAAAUGGUAAUGUAUCACAUCUUAACCCAAAUGAGAAAUAUUAGCCUAUUGAUAUUUUGUGCAUACAUUACUUUUAACAAAUCAGUUCUUGGUUUAGUUUUUAAACUGAAAUAAGCAUGUAACAAAAACUAAACCAAAUCUGAUCAGGGCAAGUUUUUUUUUAAAUCUUUGGGGAAGGUUAUAUCAUGAUAUAGGAUUGAUCUGCAGUCAUUGCUUAAUGAAUUGAUGAUAUAGAGAACAAAGCCCAUGCCUUUCUAAAAUUGAAGACGUUAUCUAGUCAGAUAAUGAAACAAGCAAACAACCAAACUUAGAAAGCACCAAGGACUUCAAGGUCAUAUUUUAAUUAAUUUAUUUCAUAAAAUGACUUAUUCCUUAUGCCUUACAACAAAGUUAGAAACAAUAGUAAACAAUAACUAUUAAAACAUUAAAAACUAUAAAAACUAAGGCCUUUUCAUCCAGCUAUAUAAAGUAAACAAAAUGCAGAGAGACACCUAAAAUAUUGGUUAACAUACGAAGCAAAAACUUGUAACAAAGAGGAAAAAUAAGAUU